rnacentral:rRNA from 1 species
CUACGGGUUGCUCCAGUGGGGAAUAUUGCACAAUGGACGAAAGUCUGAUGCAGCAACGCCGCGUGGAGGAUGACACAUUUCGGUGCGUAAACUCCUUUUAUAUAGGAAGAUAAUGACAGUACUAUAUGAAUAAGCACCGGCUAACUCCGUGCCAGCAGCCGCGGUAAUACGGAGGGUGCAAGCGUUACUCGGAAUCACUGGGCGUAAAGAGCGUGUAGGCGGGUUAAUAAGUUGGAAGUGAAAUCCUAUGGCUCAACCAUAGAACUGCUUCCAAAACUGUUAACCUAGAAUAUGGGAGAGGUAGAUGGAAUUUCUGGUGUAGGGGUAAAAUCCGUAGAGAUCAGAAGGAAUACCGAUUGCGAAGGCGAUCUACUGGAACAUUAUUGACGCUGAGACGCGAAAGCGUGGGGAGCAAACAGGAUUAGAUACCCCCGUAGUC